CCAGAGAACUUUCCAGAGAUGGAUUGGUGCCUUCGGGAACUCUGAGACAGGUGCUGCAUGGCUGUCGUCAGCUCGUGUUGUGAAAUGUUGGGUUAAGUCCCGCAACGAGCGCAACCCUUAUCCUUUGUUGCCAGCGAUUCGGUCGGGAACUCAAAGGAGACUGCCAGUGAUAAACUGGAGGAAGGUGGGGAUGACGUCAAGUCAUCAUGGCCCUUACGAGUAGGGCUACACACGUGCUACAAUGGCGCAUACAAAGAGAAGCGACCUCGCGAGAGCAAGCGGACCUCAUAAAGUGCGUCGUAGUCCGGAUUGGGGUCUGCAACUCGACUCCAUGAAGUCGGAAUCGCUAGUAAUCGUAGAUCAGAAUGCUACGGUGAAUACGUUCCCGGGCCUUGUACACACCGCCCGUCACACCAUGGGAGUGGGUUGCAAAAGAAGUAGGUAGCUUAACCUUCGGGAGGGCGCUUACCACUUUGUGAUUCAUGACUGGGGUGAAGUCGUAACAAGGUAAGCGUAGUGCU
rnacentral:rRNA from 1 species